GGGAGCCUCAUUUUGAGAAGCUGAGCUGAGGAGUCCUGGUGGAGCCACAUGCCCUCCUGUCUGCAGGAGAGGCGCCCCUCCCUCAGCAUGGGAGAACUCAGCUCUCAGUGCUUCUCUGAAGGCAGCUUCAUACUGCAUUUUAAUCCAAGGGUGCUCUAUCAUGGAGCUACAUCCCCAGCUCACUACUAUUUUUUUUUUAAGACAGG